GGCAGAGGGCCAACACACUCCUGACCUUGGCGUCUCCUGGAAACAAGGCCCACCCUCAGAGUGGCCUUCAUAAUCGGCACGCCCCCUUUCAACACAUCCGUGAUAGGGGCUGGGCUUUGAUGCUGGUUAAGGGUCAAACUUCCAUAGAUGCUUUUUAACAGGAGCCCAUUUAAAUCUUACAACCGGUCUAGGAGGUAGGGAGUGGCCUGAUUCCCUUUUUACAGGCAAUGACAUCAUAACUGCUCCAGACAAAGGGGAGGUGGUUUCUGGUCACUGUGAUGUCACUUGCUCCAACAGACAGUCCCAGACAGCUGGAAGACAGGUGGCUGCUUCCUAGGACGUGAAAGAGGACAAUGGACACCAGAAGGACAUCAGUUAAUUACCAGCCCAAACCCCAUCCCCGCUGCCUACUGAUGGUGUCCAUCUUCUUCCCCUACUCUUGCAGUACCAUCUUUUGAGAAGUCAAAUCAUUUGCUCGCCUCCUCUCCAAGGCCUCAUUUCUCAAUCUUUAUCCCAGUGAAUCCAACAUUAGUGGCUUACUGAGCCUUAACAGUCAAGUUUAUCACUUAGCCAAAA